UACGAAGGGGGCUAGCGUUGCUCGGAAUCACUGGGCGUAAAGGGUGCGUAGGCGGGUCUUUAAGUCAGGGGUGAAAUCCUGGAGCUCAACUCCAGAACUGCCUUUGAUACUGAAGAUCUUGAGUUCGGGAGAGGUGAGUGGAACUGCGAGUGUAGAGGUGAAAUUCGUAGAUAUUCGCAAGAACACCAGUGGCGAAGGCGGCGUCCUGGACCAACACUGACACUGAGGAGCGAAAGCCAGGGGAGCAAACGGG
rnacentral:rRNA from 1 species